UACAGAGGGUGCGAGCGUUAAUCGGAAUUACUGGGCGUAAAGCGCACGUAGUCGGCUUUGCAAGUCGGGUGUGAAAUCCCCGGGCUCAACCUGGGAACUGCAUCCGAGACUGCAUUGCUAGAGUAUGGGAGAGGGAAGCGGAAUUUCUGGUGUAGCAGUGAAAUGCGUAGAUAUCAGGAGGAACAUCAGUGGCGAAGGCGGCUUCCUGGACCAAUACUGACGAUCAGGUGCGAAAGCGUGGGGAGCAAACAGG
rnacentral:rRNA from 1 species